rnacentral:rRNA from 1 species
UACGUAGGGUGCGAGCGUUGCCCGGAUUUAUUGGGCGUAAAGGGCGCGUAGGCGGCCACGCACGUCCGUUGUGAAAUCGCCCGGCUCAACUGGGCGGGGUCAGCGGAUACGGUGUGGCUCGAGCAAGCUAGGGGGCAAUGGAAUUCCCGGUGUAGUGGUGGAAUGCGUAGAUAUCGGGAGGAACACCAGUGGCGAAGGCGGUUGCCUGGAGCUUUGCUGACGCUGAGGCGCGAAAGCGUGGGGAGUGAUCCGG